AGUGAACGCUGGCGGUAGGCCUAACACAUGCAAGUCGAACGGCAGCACAGUAAGAGCUUGCUCUUACGGGUGGCGAGUGGCGGACGGGUGAGGAAUACAUCGGAAUCUACUUUUUCGUGGGGGAUAACGUAGGGAAACUUACGCUAAUACCGCAUACGACCUACGGGUGAAAGCAGGGGAUCUUCGGACCUUGCGCGAUUGAAUGAGCCGAUGUCGGAUUAGCUAGUUGGCGGGGUAAAGGCCCACCAAGGCGACGAUCCGUAGCUGGUCUGAGAGGAUGAUCAGCCACACGGGAACGGAGAAACGGUCCAGACUCCUACGGGAGGCAGCAGUGGGGAAUGUUAGACAAUGGGCGAAAGCCUGAACCAGCAAUACCGCGUGCGUGAAGAAGGCCUUCGGGUUGUAAAGCCCUUUUGUUAGGAAAGAAAAGCAGCGCGUUAAUACGCCGAUGUGCUGACGGUACCCAAAGAAUAAGCACCGGCUAACUUCGUG
rnacentral:rRNA from 1 species